GACAGAGGUGCCAAGCGUUAGGCGGAAUCACUGGGCUUAAAGCGUGUGUAGGCGGGUCGUUAAGUGUCUUGUGAAAUCCCCCGGCUCAACCGGGGAAUGGCUGGGCAUACUGGCGAUCUUGAGCAGUCUAGGGGCAGAUGGAACAGACGGUGGAGCGGUGAAAUGCGUAGAUAUCGUCUGGAACGCCAAAGGUGAAGACAGUCUGCUGGGAGAUCUGCUGACGCUGAGCACAACGAAGCCCAGGGGGAGCGAACGGG
rnacentral:rRNA from 1 species